rnacentral:rRNA from 1 species
CAGUCGCCGCGGUAAAACGAGGGGGGCAAGCGUUGUUCGGAAUUAUUGGGCGUAAAGGGCGCGUAGGCGGUUUGGCAAGUUUGGUGUGAAAUCUUCGGGCUCAACUCGAAGUCUGCAUCGAAAACUGCCGGGCUUGAGUAUGGGAGAGGUGAGUGGAAUUUCCGGUGUAGCGGUGAAAUGCGUAGAUAUCGGAAGGAACACCUGUGGCGAAAGCGGCUCACUGGACCAUUACUGACGCUGAGGCGCGAAAGCUAGGGGAGCAAACAGGAUUAGAUACCCCGGUAGUCCCUGUCUCUUAUAA